rnacentral:rRNA from 1 species
UACGUAGGGUGCGAGCGUUGUCCGGAAUUAUUGGGCGUAAAGGGCUCGUGGGCGGUUUGUCGCGUCGGGAGUGAAAACCAGGUGCUUAACACCUGGCUUGCUUUCGAUACGGGCAGACUAGAGGUAUGCAGGGGAGAACGGAAUUCCUGGUGUAGCGGUGAAAUGCGCAGAUAUCAGGAGGAACACCGGUGGCGAAGGCGGUUCUCUGGGCAUGACCUGACGCUGAGGAGCGAAAGUGUGGGGAGCGAACAGG